rnacentral:rRNA from 2 species
UACGGAGGGUGCAAGCGUUAUCCGGAUUCACUGGGUUUAAAGGGUGCGUAGGUGGGUCUGUAAGUCAGUGGUGAAAUCUCCGAGCUUAACUUGGAAACUGCCAUUGAUACUAUAGAUCUUGAAUACCGUGGAGGUCAGCGGAAUAUGUCAUGUAGCGGUGAAAUGCUUAGAUAUGACAUAGAACACCAAUUGCGAAGGCAGCUGGCUACACGAAUAUUGACACUGAUGCACGAAAGCGUGGGGAUCAAACAGG